rnacentral:rRNA from 1 species
UGCCUGAUGGAGGGGGAUAACUACUGGAACGGUAGCUAAUACCGCAUAACGUCGCAAGACCAAAGAGGGGGACCUUCGGGCCUCUUGCCAUCGGAUGUGCCCAGAUGGGAUUAGCUUGUUGGUGGGGUAACGGCUCACCAAGGCGACGAUCCCUAGCUGGUCUGAGAGGAUGACCAGCCACACUGGAACUGAGACACGGUCCAGACUCCUACGGGAGGCAGCAGUGGGGAAUAUUGCACAAUGGGCGCAAGCCUGAUGCAGCCAUGCCGCGUGUAUGAAGAAGGCCUUCGGGUUGUAAAGUACUUUCAGCGGGGAGGAAGGGAGUAAAGUUAAUACCUUUGCUCAUUGACGUUACCCGCAGAAGAAGCACCGGCUAACUCCGUGCCAGCAGCCGCGGUAAUACGGAGGGUGCAAGCGUUAAUCGGAAUUACUGGGCGUAAAGCGCACGCAGGCGGAUUGUUAAGUCAGAUGUGAAAUCCCCCGG